rnacentral:rRNA from 1 species
GACGAACGCUGGCGGCGUGCUUAACACAUGCAAGUCGAACGGAAAGGCCCUGCUUUUGUGGGGUGCUCGAGUGGCGAACGGGUGAGUAACACGUGAGUAACCUGCCCUUGACUUUGGGAUAACUUCAGGAAACUGGGGCUAAUACCGGAUAGGAGCUCCUGCUGCAUGUUGGGGGUUGGAAAGUUUCGGCGGUUGGGGAUGGACUCGCGGCUUAUCAGCUUGUUGGUGGGGUAGUGGCUUACCAAGGCUUUGACGGGUAGCCGGCCUGAGAGGGUGACCGGCCACAUGGGGACUGAGAUACGGCCCAGAAUCCUACGGGAGGCAGCAGUGGGGAAUAUUGCACAAUGGGCGGAAGCCUGAUGCAGCAACGCCGCGUGCGGGAUGACGGCCUUCGGGUUGUAAACCGCUUUCGCCUGUGACGAAGCGUGAGUGACGGUAAUGGGUAAAGAAGCACCGGCUAACUACGUG